rnacentral:rRNA from 1 species
UACGGAGGGGGCUAGCGUUGUUCGGAUUUAUUGGGCGUAAAGCGCGUGUAGGCGGCUCGGUAAGUCUGCUCUGAAAGCCCGGGGCUCAACCCUGGGAGGCGGGUGGAUACUGCUGAGCUCGAGUCCGGAAGAGGCGAGUGGAAUUCCUGGUGUAGCGGUGAAAUGCGCAGAUAUCAGGAGGAACACCAAUGGCGAAGGCAGCUCGCUGGGACGGUACUGACGCUGAGACGCGAAAGCGUGGGGAGCAAACAGG